rnacentral:rRNA from 1 species
GUCCACGCCCUAAACGAUGAUCACUCGAUGUGUGCGAUAUACUGUACGCGUCUGAGCGAAAGCAUUAAGUGAUCCACCUGGGGAGUACGACCGCAAGGUUGAAACUCAAAGGAAUUGACGGGGGCCCCGCACAAGCGGAGGAGCAUGUGGUUUAAUUCGAUGAUACGCGAGGAACCUUACCAGGGCUUGAAAGUUAGUGAAGUAUGUGGAAACAUAUACGUCAGCAAUGACACGAAACUAGGUGCUGCAUGGCUGUCGU